GACGAACGCUGGCGGCGUGCUUAACACAUGCAAGUCGAACGGAAAGGCCCUGCUUUUGUGGGGUGCUCGAGUGGCGAACGGGUGAGUAACACGUGAGUAACCUGCCCUUGACUUUGGGAUAACUUCAGGAAACUGGGGCUAAUACCGGAUAGGAGCUCCUGCUGCAUGGUGGGGGUUGGAAAGUUUCGGCGGUUGGGGAUGGACUCGCGGUUUAUCAGCUUGUUGGUGGGGUAGGGGCGUACCAAGGCUUGGACGGGUAGCCGGCCUGAGGGGGUGACCGGCCCCAGUGGCUCUGGGACGCGGCCCGGCCCCCUCGGGGGGGAAGGGGUGGGGAAUAUUGCAAAAGGGGCGGACGCGUGAUGCAGAACCCCCGCGGGGGGGAUGCGGGCCUUGGGUUUGAAACCCGUUUUCCCCUGGAAGGAAGCGGGGGGGGGGGUAAGGGGUAAAGAAGCCCCGGCUCCCUCCG
rnacentral:rRNA from 1 species